UACCGUAUCCCUGGUGCGGCUACGCCUCGAGGCAUAACAAGAAGACAACUAGGAAAAGAUAGCUCGUUCACACCAGGGCUGCUGUUCACACUCAAAUCCUUGCGCAGCCUGGACAGGAUAUGAGCAGCCAGCCCCUCCCUCAAAGCGAACGGUACAGAGCCACUCCCCCUCUCUGUUCAAUUAGUAAGCCCCUCCCUCCACUUACUGCGCAGCAACCAGCCAGAAGAAACAACACAGCUAGCUCUAGACGGUGUCUAGACCAGCUCUCUUCAGCUAUGCCAGGCUAGUAGGCAAGCAAAGAAGCUGAACAGGCCUAGUGCAGUGUGUGCAGUACUAGUGCUAGUGAGUAAGCCUCAGCCUGAGCCCUAGCCCUCUCCCAGAGUGUCUCUAAAGCAGCUCCUUCUGCAAGCACACAGCAUAAUUUUUGAUGAACUAGUCUACAGACUACACCCUCUGUCUUCAUUUAUGACAUUAAUUUUUGUUUCUCAUGCAAGACAUUUUCAUUCAUCGAAAACACCAUUAAUUUAUUUUUACUGCA